ensembl:lncRNA
AUGGACACGCCUCCCCAGGUGUGGUGGCUCUACUCUCUGCACAUGCUCAGAGGCGGCUCGGGUGGCCCCCUCCCCUGCCCCCAGCAUCCCUUGCCAUUUGGGAGAUGGGCUGGGGGGGAGGGCGGGAUGAGCCUUCCCCCUCCUCCCCUUGCCGGAGCCACUCCUCUCCCCCGGCCUCCCUGGCGGCCCCGGGGGCGUGGGGCGAGGCGGAGAGCCGGCCAAGGGGGAGGUGGCCCCUCCGGCAAACCCAGAAGGAGGCGAGGCUGCUGUCAGUGGCGCCGGGGGGAACGGGGACGGGGAGGAGCCGCGCCGAGGGGAAGGAGGGGGCGACCCUGGGCUGGCAAGCAGUCGCCGCCCCUCCGCCCCCUCCGCCCGCCCUGCCUGCCGUGGAAGCCGCGGCGCCGUCUGCUCCGGCUCUUCUCCUCUCCGGCGGGGCUCGGAGGGGACGAUGCAUCGGGCGGUGCUCUCCCUGGCGGCUCUGCUGGGCAGCCUCCUCCUCUGCCUCUGCCUCGCCUGGCUCUCCGCCGACGGGUCCAGCGGGGCCAGGUAAGCCAAGGCAGCCCCAGGGAUGGCAUGGCAGGGAUGGCUCGGGGAGCCGGGAGGAAGGGGCCACGACUCCACUUAAGUUUGGCUUCUCUUGCUUCCUCCCCGCUCGCUGCCCAGGGGCUGGGAGAAGGAGCUCCGGGCCACGACGGCGGAGAGCAGCCCCCGGGUCAUGAUGAUGAUGAUGAGGUCCCUCCGGUCGCCCACCGCGCCCCUCCCGCGCCCUCCCACCGGGUCGCUCGCCCCCAACAGAACACCUUCUAAUCAAACGGGGACUCAGAAGUCUGAGCAAGUCUCAAAAUGCAAAGAAACGUGGAACAACAAUUGGUCAUCAUCUAUCAAGAAGAAAAGGUAGGACCACCGGCUUCUGUUUUAAAAUCCAUUUGGUUUACAGCCAAAAACGAUGGGAUACAAUCCUAAAAAGACAAAUAUUUCCCUGCAGUUUGUUCCAUGGGUAAAAUGUUUUUUGCAGACCAGGUUGAAAUUAAGAUUAAGUCAAGAACAGAGAUAGCAAUGUUACUCUGAAAAGGUAACACAAUACAGUUAGUUAUAGCUCCAAGGGUUCAUAUGUAGUUAUAAUUGUAAAAGUAAUUCUUUACUUUCUUAUUCUAAAAGUAAUUCAGUGGUUAAGUAGUUGCUUUUAAAGAAGUAACUAAACUAGGAAACUUCAAGACACUGGUUCGUGGUUCAAAUAUGGCUAAGUAGCUAGGUCACAUGCAACCUGUAGUUAUGAAAGUAACUAAACUACUAUCGUCGCUUGGCACAAGAAGCAGUGCAAUUUUAGUUCUGAGGCAAUUGUAUUAUUAUGAGUUUGUCAUUUCAAAACUAAUUGAUAGAAUUGCUUUGACUAUUAUUGUUUGUGUGUGUGUGUGGAGCGAUUUGAGAAACUGCAAGUCGCUUCUUGUGUGAGAGAAUUGGCCAUCUGCAAGGAUGUUGCCCAGGGGACGCUCGAUGUUUCGAUGUUUUCACAUUCUUGUGGGAGGCUUCUCUUAUGUCCUCGCAUGGAGCUGGAGCUGACAGAAGGAGCUCAUCCAUACUCUCCCCAGGAUGGAUUCAAACCAGCAACAUUCAGGUCAACAACCCAACUUUCAAGUCAGCAGUCUUCCGGCACAAGGGUUUACACAUUACACCACUGGGGGCUUCUUGACUAUUAUUGUAAUGAGUUAUUCCUACAUUCUGGUCAUGCAGUGGCUGUAUCUGAAUCCAGGAGCAUGUACAGAGUCCUUUGGGUCAGAGCUGAAGCCAAGGACUUGAGCCAGAAUUCAUAUGUAUCAGACAGAAGGCGAUGCUCUGUUGACCAGCCAAGGACAGUUCAAGGUCAAAAUCCUAUUUAUUAGACCCAGCUAGAGGUAACCCACUAUAUCAAUGGUUGAAUGAUUGUACAAUGAUUAUUUUUAUUAGGACAAGAAGAGGCUCGAAAUACAUUAUGCAAGCUUUCAUAGCUUGAAGACUUCUUCUUCAGGAAUUGAUGUAAAAAAAUCAUGUUAGGGAAAGAAAUAUGAUGGCAGAGAGUCACAGAGCUGCUUCUUUCAUGAAAUGUUAAAGUUUAGUUUUAGAUGGUGGUGGAGGGAGGUUUAAUGCAGGUAAAGGCUUUGUUGGUCAUGCAUCACUAGAGACACAAAAGCAGGAUAUAUAUUUUUUUUCACCAUUGUAAGAAACAAAAGUACAGUAGAGUCUCACUUAUCCAACACAAACGGGCCGGCAAAACGUUGGAUAAGCGAAUAUGUUGGAUAAUAAGGAGAGAUUAAGAAAAAGCCUAUUAAACAUCAAAAUAAGCUAUGAUUUUACAAAUUAAGCACCAAAACAUCAUGUUAUACAACAAAUUUGACAGAAAAAGUAGUUCAAUAUGCAGUAAUGUUAUGUUGUAAUUACUGUAUUUACAAAUUUAGCACCAAAAUAUCAUGAUAUAUUGAAAACAUUGACUACAAAAAUGCGUUGGAUAAUCCAGAACGUUGGAUAAGCGAGUGUUGGAUAAGUGAGACUCUACUGUAAUUCCUUUGUGAUCUAGCUCAUAUCUAGCUCAUAUCUAACAUUGGGAAAUUAUUUUUUAGAUGGAGCCAGAGGGUUGAGGAAGCUGUGGUUCAAGAAAGUAACUUUUCUCAGCUCUGUGGUCCUGUAGCACCUUCCCUCCACUGAGCCCUAGCACUGUUGGCUCUGCAAUACUUCCAUUCAUAAUGCUCAUAAAUGUUAAUGCAGCUACUCGCAGUGCCAAGCAAGCUGCCACGAAACUGCCAAUGCUUUCCUUUGUUGUUGCUGCUAGAUUUCUUUCUGUAUGUAUUGAUUUUUAUAUUACAGGUUUAAACAAGAAAAAAUUACCAUAACCUAUUUCAGCAGGAGUUCUCAUUUACAGCUGAGGAUGCUUGCAUGAGGCCGUUUCUUCCUCCCUCCCACCCUCCCCUCCUCUUUCUUUCUUUCUUUCUUUCUUUCUUUCUUUCUUUCUUUCUUUCUUUCUUUCUUUCUUUUCUCCCUCCCCCAUCCCAUUUUGUCCAUAAUGUUUCAUUAUGAAAAUGAAAAAAACAUCAAGAAAAACAGGUUUUUCUGUUCUGGCUUUUUCCUACUUUUGAUCAGCUCACAUUGUCUAAGAAUGUAAAUCAUGAAGCUUCUAAGCCUGGUCUCACUCAAGAUGGCUCGGGUGAAUCACAAUAGGACAGAAUAGAUCCUAUAACAUGAUGGAAAGUAGCAGCUAUCUCAUCAUGCAAUUGUGUGUGCUGCCAUUCUUGGCAAUCACUGUUGAAUGUUGUCUGGAGAAGGCUGAGAUCUUAAGUACCGUAUCAGAGUUUGCCACCAGAAUAGCUAAUGUGGAUAACCUCAACUUUGGGUUUGACUCUGCUAUUGUGUCCCAGGCCCCUUCCACACAACUGAAUAAAAUCCCACAUUCUCUGCUUUGAACUGGGAUAUAUGGCAGUGUAGACUCAGAUAUUCCAGUUCAACGCAGAUAUUGUGGGAUUUUCUGCCCUGGUAUUCUGAGUUAUAUGUCUGUGUGGAAGGGCCUCAAGCCUGGCCUUCUGGAGUCCCUCAAAUGACCAUGUCUCCAUCACCAUGAUAAUAUCCAUUGCUUUUGUAUGUAUUUCCUCUCUCCCAGUUCUAAAACACAAACAUGUCUCUCCAAAAUGUCAUUACUGGCAGUAAGAUUUUCCAGCUAAAGAGUGUGGGUAUUUUGGAACCUAUGCUUUGUUCCAGUCCAUGAUUGGAAUGCUUUCCUCACAUCCUUUUCCUGCAGGCAGGGGGUUGGAUGGCCCUUGUGGCCUUAUCCAGCUCCUUGAUUCUCUGAUUCUAACUCCCUUGAGUUGCAUCACAUGGUGGAAAGGUAGGGGUUCUUGCCUGUGUGAGGCGAGAAAUGGUAGGUAGGAGAUGCAAGUGUGUGGUUGCUGACUGCAUACAUCAUCCUGGUAUCGGGCAGCAAGGCAGCCUUUAAAGUGUGAAUGACCACAUUUGCACAAUGCUGAAUAUGGCAUCCCUUUGCCUGUAGUUGUUACACGAAACUACAGGCGAAGAAUUCCCUUCACCCUCUGCUUACCUAUAGCAGUGCCAAUACUUCCUAAUAGUGUACUAUUUUAUUAUCCCAAUCUACUUGUGCUUGGAACUCAUAGGAAAAGUGGAAGCAAGCUUGAUUUAUUUAGAGUCAUGACAGGUCAGAUUAAAGUCUUAUCCAGUAAGUUUGUGUCAGGUCAGGUCAUUGUAAACAAGGUUACAUCAAGUCAGAUUUUGAACCAUGAAGCUUGACUGGGCAAAACAAAUCCAGAUAGAGGAAUACUUUUAUCAGGAUCCUGGAUGGCUACCAUGAAUAUGUACUUACUGUAGCCCUCCCUUUCUGAGUACAGUCAACUCUCCCCAUUUGCUGAUUUGAUUAAUAUCCUCUCUCUAGGAAUGUCUAGGUUCUCCAGCACAAUUUUAUGGUUACCUUUCACUGGAGGACCUAGACCAGGGGUCCCCAAACUAAGGCCCGGGGGCUGGAUGCGGCCCUCCAAGGUCAUUUACCUGGCCUCCACCCUCAGUUUUAUAAUAUAUUUUUAUAUCAGUUUUAAUAAUAUAAUAUAUUGUAUAUACAUAUAACAUUGAUAAAAAUAUUAUAAUGUUAUACAAUAUAAU